GGGGGUGUGCAGGCUCCGUUCGGAGCGGUUCGGAACAUCUACACCCCUAAAAUGGGGCAUCGGGUGGCCUGCCUGGACCACCUGCAGAGCGGGGAACAAUAUGUCGCUGCCGGGAGAGAGAAAUUCAAGAAAUUGGAUUACUCACAGAUAGGAUCCAGAAAGAAAAAGAUGCUUCAAACUAUUUCAGGGCAGCCUUACCCACAGGCUAAACCGGUGCC